GGUACCUCGGAGGGAUCAUUA
rnacentral:rRNA from 1 species